UCACUACUAUUUUUCGCGAUCGCACAAU
rnacentral:piRNA from 1 species